rnacentral:misc_RNA from 1 species
GCUCCGUAGGUGAACCUGCGGAGGGAUCAUUACAGAGUUCAUGCCCUACCGGGUAGAUCUCCCACCCUAUGUUAUUAUUACUUUGUUGCUUUGGCGGGCCGUUAGGCUCCGGCCCGACUACCGGCCCCGGCUGGUAAGCGCCGCCAGAGGACCCAAAACCCUGAAUAUUAGUGUCGUCUGAGUACUAUAUAAUAGUCAAAACUUUCAACAACGGAUCUCUUGGUUCUG